AGUUUUAUGGGAGCUUGCUUUUAUAAAACUUAGCGGCGGACGGGUGAGUAACGCGUGGGUAACCUGCCCUAUACACAGGGAUAACAUUGAGAAAUUGAUGCUAAUACCUGAUAAGCCAACAGUAGGCAUCUACAAGUUGGAAAAACUGAGGUGGUAUAGGAGGGGCCCGCGUCUGAUUAGCUAGUUGGUGGGGUAAAGGCCUACCAAGGCGACGAUCAGUAGCCGACCUGAGAGGGUGAUCGGCCACAUUGGAACUGAGACACGGUCCAAACUCCUACGGGAGGCAGCAGUGGGGAAUAUUGCACAAUGGGGGGAACCCUGAUGCAGCAACGCCGCGUGAAGGAAGAAGUAUUUCGGUAUGUAAACUUCUAUCGACAGGGAAGAAAUAAAUGACGGUACCUGAAUAAGAAGCACCGGCUAAAUACGUGCCAGCAGCCGCGGUAAUACGUAUGGUGCAAGCGUUAUCCGGAUUUACUGGGUGUAAAGGGUGAGUAGGCGGUUAUGCAAGUCAUAUGUGAAAUUCUGGGGCUCAACCUCAGGGCUGCAUAAGAAACUGUGUAACUAGAGUACAGGAGAGGUAAGCGGAAUUCCUAGUGUAGCGGUGAAAUGCGUAGAUAUUAGGAAGAACACCGGUGGCGAAGGCGGCUUACUGGACUGAAACUGACGCUGAGUCACGAAAGCGUGGGGAGCGAACAGGAUUAGAUACCCUGGUAGUCCACGCCGUAAACGAUGAGUGCUAGGUGUUGGGAAGAGAUUCUCGGUGCCGCAGCAAACGCAAUAAGCACUCCACCUGGGGAGUACGACCGCAAGGUUGAAACUCAAAGGAAUUGACGGGGACCGCACAAGCGGUGGAGCAUGUGGUUU
rnacentral:rRNA from 1 species